rnacentral:rRNA from 1 species
GACGAACGCUGGCGGCGUGCUUAACACAUGCCAGUCGAACGGAAAGGCCUGCUUUCCCUUGUGGAUUGCGGGUACUCGAGUGGCGAACGGGUGAGUAACACGUGAGUGAUCUGCCCCCAACUUGGGUAUAAGCCUGGGAAACUGGGUCUAAUUCCCGAUAGGACUGCAGGGUGGUGCCUGUGGUGGAAAACGAUUUUCUAGUGGUUGGGGAUGAGCUCGCGGCCUAUCAGCUUGUUGGUGGGGUAAUGGCCUACCAAGGCGGCGACGGGUAGCCGGCCUGGGAGGGUGGACGGCCACAUUGGGACUGAGAUACGGCCCAGACUCCUACGGGAGGCAGCAGUGGGGAAUAUUGCACAAGGGGCGGAAGCCUGAUGCAGCGACGCCGCGUGGGGGAUGACGGCCUUCGGGUUGUAAACUCCUUUCGACCGCGAGGAAGCCACCUGGUUGGAAGGGUGGUGACGGUAGUGGUAGAAGAAGCACCGGCUAACUACGUG